UGUUUACAAGCAGACUUUCCACCGUCCUGAGAGUGGCUCAAGUCGUGCAUUUUUUAAUUUCCACCGGAACAUAAAUAGGAAGAAUCUUGUCCGGAGGGAAAGUUCGCCACAACGGUGGCGUUCCUGAUGAGACGUCCUGAAGGCUCUGUUUAUAUGAGGGGAGGACGGUGACCGAGGAGCGGAGUGGUCAGCGGCAUCUACUGUAGUGCCGUGAAGUGAGCGUUCUUCUCCGUCCUCUCUCUUCUGGAGCCCUCCAUCUCCAAGAGAGACCUCGGCCAACAUGACUGGAGAGGCAGCAGCAGCAAGGUAGCAGGACACCGAUGGAAGAGACCAACAGAGGAAGGGGUCCCCCGAUGCUGAAGCUGAGCUCAAACAUCUACUAAUGUACUCCCUCCACAAACCCAGCUCAGAAGAAGGGACAGUUUUCAAGGUCCUCGUUCCUUCCAGGUUCCACAUAAAUUUAAAAUGUACAUGUUACUUUACCAAGCAAAACAACAGCUGACUGAAACCAUUUGGACCCUUCAUUUAUUUUCUUUGUAGCCACAGUUUCAUUAAAGAACCGGAUGCCGCCCCACUUCCUCCGCCUCUCUUGACCCUCGUCCCUCUGAGGAAGAUCCUUCAAAACACACCUACUUACUUUAUUUUUGCAAAUAAAGUGUUUGACAAUGAACAUUUCUUUUUGUGAAAAAUGGAUUCACAGAAAAAAAUAAAAUCAAAAGCACUUUGCAAAAUAUCAACAAAUUGAGUUGAACACAGCUUUGUUUUAUUGCAGAGAUGAAAUAUAUAUGCAAGAACCUAUGCUUUGUUAAAAUAGGUGGCUGACUCUUGAAUGAGCAAUUGUGUUGCACUGAUAACUGUUUUUUUUCCAAAAAGGAGAAGCCUCAUCUUCAACAAAAACAUAUGUGGUCGGUGGCCGUGGUCCUCUGGUCAGCUCCUGGAAGUGGACGGUCACCAACACAGAAGCAGUUGGUGAUGAGUCUCCUGUUACCGAAGAUCUGCAAAAUAUAAACCAUACAUGGAUAUGUAAACAUAUAUAUGUUGGUGAUAAUUUAACAAAGUAUAUAUCAACCAUACAACAGUGCAUCUAGGAUAAAUUGUUUCAUCACAAUGCAUUUAACUGUUGCAUUCAUUGAUUACCACA